rnacentral:snRNA from 1 species
GGAUGUGAGGGCCAUCUGGCUGCGACAUCUGUCACCCCAUGGAUCGCCAGGGUUGAUUCGGCUGAUCUGGCUGGCUAGGCGGGUGUCCCCUUCCUCCCUCACCGCUCCAUGUGCGUCCCUCCCGAAGCUGCGCGCUUGGUCGAAGAGGACAACCUUUCCCGAUAGAGGAGGACCAUUCUUCGGUCAAGGGUAUACGAGUAGCUGCGCUCCCCUGCUAGAACCUCCAAACAAGCUCUCAAGGUCCAUUUGUAGGAGAACGUAGGGUAGUCAAGCUUCCAAGACUCCACACACAUCCAAAUGAGGCGCUGCACGUGGCGGUCUGCCUUUCUUU